AGCCACGUAACCUCUAUGGAUAUAAAGGUUAAUCCGGCGUGUGUAAUGAGCACGGAGUGGUUUUCAACCCUACAGUAUAAAUCACACGAACUUAAAAGAAUGGUUUAUUUUCAAGUGUAUUACAAAUAGCCCCCAAAACGGUGGUUGUAUGGACUCCAAAGGACUGUAAUUUGAGCUUGCUUACUGCAUCGUAAUCGUUCUCCGGCGUACGGCAACGAACGGGUUAGCGUUUCGAAUUACAGAUGUGAAUAGCGCAUUACUGCUGGAACUGGGGAAACGAGUUAUCGGCCAUUUUAAAUGCAGGUUAAGCCGCGUAAAAUACACUCAUACGCGUUUUAAAUUUGUAAACAUGAAUCUUGAGAAUUAAAAAAGAGGAACGUAAUCAUAAGCCUACGUUUUUAUCAUACAUCCAAAUUCCCAAAACAGACCGUAAAGUAACAAAAGAAUAGGAUUUUGAAUACUUUGACAAAGACACCCGAAGGACGAACAGCUAAAAGACUUGUAGACGGAAUAUGAAAAGUUGCGUUGUAGAUCAUCGAUCGUGCGACAUUCUUCUGUGCUCUCAAGUAUAUUUCAAAUUAAAAGACUGAAAAGACGAAGAAUCUCAAGGAAUUAAAAUGGUUAUAAACUCACCAGACAUGUUGGCUGAAAGAAGUGAAAAUCUCUGGAACAAGUGUUGCUAUGGCUGGUGCAGCACAAGGUUUCCUGCGCCCUCCGCAAGAAGCAAAGUGCUGUUUCUUCAGUUACGGCCAGCAGUGACAGACCUGUCGCCUCAAGCUCUGCCGUUUACAUGCAGUAUCUUUUGCGAUCGGAUGCCCUGGAGGUUUGUUGUAAGAUUCUUACUUUAACUUUUUCAUUCUUUUAAUUGCUUUAUUGUUUUAUUGUGUUGCUAUCAGAUCUAAACAAAACGUUUACACUAAUCUUUGCCCAGCACACUGUGUGAUGAAAUAUAUUUGCCUUGUGUAACACCAAGUUUUCUGAAGCUUUUUCCCACACCGAUGUUUCCAUUGUCAGGAGAAAAAUCAUGUACAGGCAUGAAAUUUUUUGCAUGCAAUGAAUUACAUGUGUACUGAGGAAUAGUCUUUCAUGGCAUUGCAUUUAAAACAGAUUUAAAUAAAACACACUAACCCGAGACUGAAAUAUUUAAACCAAAUCCACUAGGAGCCUUGAAGUCACAUUGGAUCCACAUAAUGCAUUGAAGUACCAAAAUGCAUAGCAUUAUUCUAUGUUAGGCAGAGGGGAGUCUGCUUUACUGCAACAGAGGGAUUUAACCUGUGUUAUGGCAUUGACAGUGGUUUUGGGCUGGUCUGCAAGGUUGACAUGGGCCAGGUUGUUAGGGCGCCACCCCGUGAGCAUCAUCUGUGGCUGCUGCCGAGGGGGCGAGACCGUGUGUGUGUGUGUGUGUGUGUGUGUGUGUGUGUGUGCGCAAAACAGGAUCAGAUGCAAUAAGAGGUUGAAAAUGAUUACUUGCUAAAGCUUUUCCUAUAUUGCUUGCAUUACUCUUUCCGGUAUCCUUAUUGCCUAUUCUGUGUUUAACUAGUGUUCUCAGACUGGGCCAGGGGCGGGUAACUUUUUAUAUACAUAUUUAUUUUUCAACUAUAUUAGUUUAGAAGCACUGACUAAGAGUGGCAACUCUAAAUUUUGUUGUUUGAUACCAUUUUUUGCAAUGACAAAGCUUCUACUACUACUACUGAAUGGGAUGCUUUUUGGAUUAUUGCAAUACAGAUUAAUGAGCCAGAACAUUAUGACCAUCCCCAAGUCAUGUGAGUAAAACUGACUUGUAAAAACAGCUCAUGUGUCUAAGGUAUAAUAAAUGUAAGCUAACAUUCUGCAUUCACAGUCACCAUGUUGAAUGUGAAGAAAUCAGCCAGGGUAAAGACUUGAAUGACUUUAAGGGUCAGAUUGUUAUGGCAGAUGACUGUGUCUGAAACGGCAAGGCUUGUGGGGUUCUCAUGGUCUGCUGUGCUGAGUACCUGCUCAGUGUGGUCCGAGGAGGGAAAAACAAAUCUGCAACAGGGGGUUUGGUCAAAGACUUCUCUGUGAGAUCAGACAAAGGCUAUGCCAUGUGGUACAAACCAACAGAAAGGCUACUAAGGCGUGAAUCGUAGGUAAUUUUAAGGAUGGUUACGGGAUUGAUGUGUCACAGCACACAGUCCAUGGAGCCCUGUUGUGUACAAGGCUAAGUAGCUGUAGAUCGGUCCAGCAGAUCCCACAGAUGCUCGACACACACCUGUCCAUACACAUGAUGCAACAGAAAAUGUGACUCAUUAGACCAGGCCACCUCCUUCCAUUGCUCCAUGGUCCAGUUCUGUUGCUCACGUGACCAUUGUAGGUGCUUUCUUCGGUGCACAGGGGUCCGCAUGGACACUCUGACCGGUCUGCAGCUACGCAGCCCCUUACAGAGCAGGGCUUGAUGGCACAUUACAGCCACAUCCAUCUUUGAAAUUAUCUGCCAUUUGUGCCCUUAAACUGGUUGAUACCAAAGGGGGCAGCCUUCAUUCCCGUCCCGCACUGAGGAGUCUUGGCCAUCCCCCCCCUCCCCCGAAAGUCACUCCGCACUUUUCCGCUGCCCGUUUCUGCGCGCGUUCACAAAGUCGACUAAGAGUACCGAAUGCCAGCUAAUAUAUCCAAGUGCCAUAUAUACUGAGUACCAGCUAAUAUAUCCAAGUGCCAUAUAUACUGAGUACCAGCUAAUAUAUCCAAGAUGUUGACAAGGUGCCAUUUUUACAAGCCAGACAACAUUAUUCACUUCAUGUGGGGGUGGCCUUAAUUUUUUGGCUCAUCAGUACAGUUUUGAGGGAACUUAUGUGGGUUACCAUUAGCUACAAAACCCAGGGGAGAUGGUGGAACUGCAAUGUGAGGAUAUGAACCCCUGCAGAGAAGAGCAGGUCUUGGCAGGUUCUGUGGGGGUGGGGUGGGGGGUUGACGAUAUGUACGUGAAUUGGUGAAUUGUCCAUCUAUUCCAUGUCAAUAACUGUGGGCAGGGUGCACCCAGGAGUCAAUGGUAGUCCUCCGUAGAGCAGCAAUGAAAGCAUGUUAAGAUCAUUCUCAGCAUCUGGGAUACAGCAGGUCAUUUAUGGUCAUUCUCAGCAUCUGGGAGACCGCAGGACAUUUAAGGUCAUUCUCAGCAUCUGGGAUACAGCAGGUCAUUUAUGGUCAUUCUCAGCAUCUGGGAGACCGCAGGACAUUUAAGGUCAUUCUCAGCAUCUGGGAUACAGCAGGUCGUUUAAGAUCUUUCUCAGCAUCUGGGAGACCGCAGGACAUUUAAGGUCUUUCUCAGCAUCUGGGAGACCGCAGGACAUUUAAGGUCUUUCUCAGCAUCUGGGAGACAGCAGGAUCUGUCAUGUGCUCUAACCCUAACCUAAACUCCGAAACACACCCAGGACGGCUCAGUAAAGAACUGAAAAACAUUACUGCUAUUUCUUUCCCCAUUUUCUCGUCUGCAAGCGAGUUGUAUGUUCAGGACGGAAUGCACGAUGAGGCAGCAGCGACCGAUCAGCUGGAUGAAGACUUGGCGGCGGGUCCUCCAGAUACUGUAGCUCUGCUCUUCAAGCCGGCACCUGCCCCUUUCCUUGGUGGCCUGCAGAGCAAACACCUUAAACAAACCCGCACCUCCCCCACCUGCAUGACGUCGCUGACACUGCCGUUUUUGGACCACCAAAUCAUUUUUUCAUUUGAUCCCUUUUCAGGUCCAUAGUCUGUGGUAUCUGUGGCACUAUUGUAGCAGAAGAGAAAGUUGAGUUUUAAAUCCCAGCUGCCCCCCCAGUGUUUGCUAAUCCCUGCACUCUGUUUGUUGAUGAGUAUAACCUUAGGAGGUCUCUUGGGAGCUGCACCUGGCAUGGGGCUGUGGAGAUGUCUGUGCAUUGCUGCCCUGCGCACGGCAGCUGGGUUCAAAUGAUUACUGGGUGUUUCCUGGCAACGGUCUUGGCAACAGACCUUGGGCCAGGUCUGGCUUGGGUCCAGGCAAACGUCGGCUCUCGGGCCUGGGACGCAUGUCCACCUUGUAGCUUGCUGUUACAAUCUUAAUUUUUAUGAAAAGCAAUCAAAUGGACAAGAAUUUAUAAAAAAAAAAAUGACAAAAUCAAAUAAACAACUAAGAUGGAAUUUGUGUAUAAUUUCUGAGUAGACAUGUCAGCAACAGGAGUAGUUUAUGCUUAAGGAUACAGGAAUGGAAGUGCCUGGCUAAAUGCGCUAAUAUCAAAUUAUUAAUUGCUAUUUUAAGGAGUGCCUCACCGGCUUCCUGCUUAAGAUUUGUGUAGCACAUGACACCGUACGUGACGCACCUGCACCUGAGAUACCAAAUAAUACACAGUGGGAAAAGCAGCCUGCCUGGCUGCUCCCCCCAGCGGCUGCAUUAUCAGCUGCAGGGACACUUACCGCCUUGGGGUAGCGCCAUGGGGGCAUGGGAGGCAGCAGGGCAUUUAAAUGGGGCAUUCAAAUGGCACAGCUGCCCCUUGCUCUCACGUUGACUACAGAUACAACAAAAUGAACAGAUUUCCCCAUAAUCCCUUAGUGACUCUUUGGUCAUAGUGUCAAUGCAUGCAAACCACAUGGUGUGAUAAUCUAGAAAGUUCAGUUCUGUUUUUUUUUUUUUUUUUUUUUUUCUUUUCUUGACUGCCAUUAUUACCGCAGAUCUUGCUUGUGUUCCUUAGAAGGUGAGGUUACUUUGAAAUCAUCUUUAUCAGGAAUUCUUUCAUUGUUUAUUGCUGGCUGGCAGGAUCGUGGCUUUGACAUGGUAGAGGGCUGUCAGUGGAGGGCAGCUGCAUGUGGUUGUGGUGGAGCAGACGGCUAAAAGGACGCCGAGUUUCUGACGGCUGCAUUUGCAUGUGAUUUGCCACUUGUGAGACCUCCUCACACCUACCACAGAGGCUUCAUAAGCUCCCUGCGUUCACCCGGUUGAGCACAGCACUGAAUGAUGAUCAUAUUGCUGCCUGAAAAUAUAUUACACUUUUCAGAUUAGAUGACUGGUGAUUUUUUUCUCAGUUAGAGAUCCAGCUUCAUGCAGUGUAAAACACCUUUGGGGCAGUGGGUCAUUAUCGCAGAGUAAUAUUUCAGUGUCUCAGGUAAGUGUGAGCCCGGUGCAGAACCUAUGGUGCUGAUCCACUGUGCACUAGCGCUGCCACGUCUUGCCUGUUGCUACUGGCACUUAUUAUCAGCCCAAUAACUGACCGAUCAGUCCGCUUUGAAGAGAAAUGUUUUCCAGGCAAAUAGACGAAUACAUAACACAUCUUCCUUUAGUCAUAGCAUCGAAUUACGUUGCUAAAUUCUGGCAGAUCAUGUGUAACAUAUACGACUUAGAGGAAUAACGCAAGUUAUCGUUUCAUGUUGUCUCUGGUUUCAUUUUAUUCCUCUUCAAUUGCAGCACAUUUUGCUUACAGCUAUCUUCAGGUAUGCCAUGUUAUUGCAUGUCAAAAUAAACCCGUCGUCACGAGCAGCUGCUGUAAUAGAUGUUAUGUAAAGGAACGUGUCAACACUCAGUGGAGAGGGUGUAUGCAAUUUAAUUUGUUUUGACUCGUUACCUGUGGUAGCAAUAUAUACUUUUAUAUAUACAAUAAAUAUUUUCUGUAAUGGUUUGAACCUGAUAAUAUAAAUGAGAUGCAACAGUAUAAAAGUGCAAAGUGUAACAUUUGCGAUUGCUGAAGCAUUAUUUGUUACCUUUGACCAGGCUCUCAUUUCUGACGGCAGUUUCCUGAAGCGUCUGUGCCGUGUCUGGGCUUGAUGCGGCUGAAUGUGCAGUCGGGGGGGGGUUUUACAUUUAGCAUGUCUCUUGGUGGACAAAAGACAGCGAAACCUCACCAAGGGCAUUUUCCUUGUGAGGGGGGGUGGGUUCCCAGUUAAAGUAAAGGGCUGUUUAUUUAGACGGAGCCCAGUAUGGCCUUUGUGUACGUCCCAUUCAGGUUUACGCCUGCCAGCCUCAGUUCUCCACACUGUUUACACAAGCACAUCUGCAUUCCCACAUACAAUCCACCGUGGGUUUUCCACUUUCCAGGCUCAUUAAUAAAAUCAGAAUAGUUAUAUCAUUUAUGUUAUAUUUUUGUGAUGAUGAUAUAAUGUUACUGUUGGUCUGACAGUUUUUAAUAUGACACCGACCUAUAUGCCCCUGUAGUUUGAUCACAUCAUUUUGACUAAUUAGGUGUUUUAACUGUGUGCAGAGUUAACAUGAGAGCGAACAGGUAAAAUGAGGUGAAAAGUGACCCGUGUCACAGAACCUAUUAAGUACAGUCCUGUACGAAUGUAUCAGUGACAUUCAUCCGUCACAGUUCAAGGCCCGAUAAGCCCAUUGUUUGCUUUCCGUUGAUAUUUUUUGAAAAGUGGAUAUGAAUAUUGGUUAAAUAUUAUUUCAAUGGAAUAAAAAGUACCUUUUCAACCAUGACACACACGCACACAACAUAGAAGUUGAGCGAUAACAUGAAGCUCAAACACAAAUGUAACAUAUUAUUCAAAAUGAUUGACAGGCUAACUGAAAGCCAGCCCUGUCUAAGCACACUUUUAGUAAUUGGCUUUGGAUUAUUUUAAUGAGUUUUAACCUGAUAUUAAUCAGAAUGCUUGAUGGUGGGCUUUUUAGUCAUUUUGACGUUUUCUUUCAAAGGUAUUUGCUGGCCUUGUCACUCCUCAUAAGAUCCAUCCAUCCAUCUAUCCAUCAAUCAGCCCUGUAUCCAGCACUGGGUCACGGAAUCCUCAUGGCAUUUUAAACAUAAUAUAAUGCUGACCUGUGCUGGACAGAUACGGGCCUGUCGCUCCAGCAGUGACUGCUGUCUGCCUGCCAUGUCUACUUCUGGAAUCUCAAAUGGAAGUGUCACCCCCCGCCUGCCUUGCGCUGGCACCCGUGUCUGCGCAGGAUUGACAGCUGGUGGGCAGAAUCGGGCCCUUGUUUAUGCAGGUUGGGGAGGGGGGCUGAAUAACAGGUUUCUGAUACAUCUGAGCGGACAAUGGUGCAUUUGUGUGGCUCCCCGCAGGCCGCCGGGCAGGUGAGCUCCCUGCUGUCUUUGCAUAGCCCAGACCAGACGGGUGACGGCCUGGCCCUACCUGU